rnacentral:tRNA from 1 species
AUUUCUAUAGCUUAAAAUAUUAGAGCAUAGUAUUGAAGAUACUAGGGUAACAAGAUUUGUUUAGAAAUA